GAUGAACGCUAGCUACAGGCUUAACACAUGCAAGUCGAGGGGAAACGAUAGGGAAAGCUUGCUUUUUCUAGGCGUCGACCGGCGCACGGGUGAGUAACGCGUAUCCAACCUGCCCAUCACUUGGGGAUAACCUUGCGAAAGUAAGACUAAUACCCAAUGACGUCUCUAGAAGACAUCUGAAGGAGAUUAAAGAUUUAUCGGUGAUGGAUGGGGAUGCGCCUGAUUAGCUUGUUGGCGGGGUAACGGCCCACCAAGGCGACGAUCAGUAGGGGGUCUGGGAGGAAGGUCCCCCACAUUGGAACGGAGACACGGUCCAAACUCCUACGGGAGGCAGCAGUGAGGAAUAUUGGUCAAUGGACGAGAGUUUGAACCAGCCAAGUAGCGUGCAGGAAGACGGCCCUAUGGGUUGUAAACUGCUUUUAUAAGGGAAUAGAGUGAGUCUCGUGAGACUUUUUGCAUGUACCUUAUGAAUAAGGACCGGCUAAUUCCGUGCCAGCCGCCGCAGUAA
rnacentral:rRNA from 1 species